rnacentral:lncRNA from 1 species
UUUUUAGGGCUCAAAGAGCCGAGCAAUCGGUGUUGGCGAAUCCGAGCCGCGGGUGCUGGACAUCGUAGAGGAAAUGGAUGUUUUGCUGCUGGAAAUUCCCGAUGAUCGACAUGCCAUCCGUGGGAAGAAUCGCGAGGCAGUGCUUGGCUUCUUGCGAAUCCGGCUGGAUGAAAUAGUUCUCCUGCGGAAGAUCCAGCUCGGCUCCGUUUUGGAAGACGAUGCCGAGGGCAGGGAAUGGCACGGCGGUCCUCCCAGUGGCAUUGUAGCAAAUCCCCAGGAUGUCGAAGGGAUCGGCCCUAGGGUAUGAGAUCCUCGCCAGGAACGCGCUCUCCACCGCUCGCUACGCGUCGCGAUUGAGGUACGUGAGAGUGGUUCCCGAAUCGAUGAUCGUCCCGCCGCUUCCAUUGGCAGCAAUCGCGAAUCUCUCGGCCGGGAUGGGGAGAAGCUCCUGGUCGAUCUUGAUCCCCUGGAUUCCAAGGUAGUAGAAGGUCUCCACGGAGUUGUUCGUCCUCACGAAUGGCGUGAAUCUCAUCUGGUGGUGUAGAGGUUUACAAAGGCGGAAGCGAUUCGAGAGUGGACAAGCUUGGCUUGUGAGAGUGUCUUGCACGAGGCGAUAAGGCUCAGGCACUCGCGUCUGUCCAGCCUCGUUUCCAAACUAACCAUCAAUGCUUUGUCAAUCAAAUGUGAUGUUGAGAAUUAAUCAUGCCGCUAAUGUCAAGUCUCUUUGGCCAAAAAAAAAUUCUCACAUUUUCUACCGUGGAUUCCUUAUUCACGUUGCUAAU